rnacentral:rRNA from 1 species
UACGAAGGGGGCUAGCGUUGUUCGGAAUUACUGGGCGUAAAGCGCACGUAGGCGGAUAUUUAAGUCAGGGGUGAAAUCCCGGGGCUCAACCCCGGAACUGCCUUUGAUACUGGGUAUCUCGAGUCCGAGAGAGGUGAGUGGAAUUCCGAGUGUAGAGGUGAAAUUCGUAGAUAUUCGGAGGAACACCAGUGGCGAAGGCGGCUCACUGGAUCGGUACUGACGCUGAGGUGCGAAAGCGUGGGGAGCAAACAGG